UGCAACCAAGAGGAAGUUUGAUAUGUUAGUCAUGUAGUGAGCAAGUGCGUGCAUUUUAAUGGUAAAUUUCUGAAAGGUUUUAAUGCCAUUAUUAAAAGUUAUGGGAUUCUGGUUUUUCUGUAAUGGUAGUAUUAAUAAUUUUGAAGAAUGUGUCCAUAGAAGAUAUUGCAAGGAACAGAGAAGUGACAUAGGUACACGUGGAUCUACGUAUUUCGCAUUAGUGGCGUACUACUUGAUUUGGUGCACAGAACGAAGGAGUCCGUCCAGAUCACUGAAUGGAAGUGCUCCAUAUUUGUUUGUGAUGAAGGAGACGAGGAGCCCCGAGUACGCGGCAAGGACAACCGAGGUGCUGAGGAAGAAGAGACUGUAGACCAUGCGGCCUGAGGUCUCCUUUGGCGUCACGUCGGUCCCUGCAAGGACGCAUACAGAAUCAACUUACUGCUAGCUGCUCAGGAAAAGAUCUACUGCUCCUUCUCCCGCUAUAUAUACAUAGCGCCCAUCGUCAGCCCAGAAAUGCUGUCCUCUUGCCUCCUCCGAACCGACCAGGCGUUUCCUGGACGCCCGCAGGAAGCGCUCAGGGGUAGAUUUCCAUUUGGCUGUCUCUGCUCCAGGGCAUGGCGUAUCGUCAGGUGGAUGAGAUGACCUCCACAUGUCGAGGGUCGACGUGAAUGUGUACUUGUAGAAUAAGCAGUGGCGGAGAGCCGAUGAGGGUUGAAAGACUACGAAUGGCUUCGUACUGUCCGAAAAAUUGGUGUAUCUUCAAGAUGUCGCGAUAUAAAUACACCAAGCGACUCUCAGUACGUAAGUCGCCACGUCACGUCUGUUGACGGAACACUCGAAACAAGCCGCAUGGUGAAACAGGAGACUGGAAACUGGGGAAAUUAGAGCCGGGAGACACGUGGCUCCAUGAAGACAGAGAAUGAAGGAGACGCUUGCGGCCCGAGCAUGCGCCUAGCUGUCCUGUGGCUGCUCUUGCUACAGGUACAGGCGGGCCGAGUCGGGCUUGGACAACAACUCGAGGCCCGACUGGACACAGUGCGCAGAAUAUUGCACGAGGUUCCCCUUGUA